rnacentral:lncRNA from 1 species
CAGAAAUGUUAUAUGCCAUUCCAUUAAAUGUACUGUACUGUAUGUGUGAUGUACUGUAUUUUUUAACAGGAACGGGUUCAAAAAAGUGAACAAAGUAAUGCCCCUAGAGAAGAGGUGCACUCUUGUUCCGUCCCAGUGGAUGAUUUCUGGAAGAAGAUCAAAAUCUGAAAGAUGAACUGGGAAGAGCCCAUGGAGACUUACGACUUGAACCAAGAACAUGUUAAACCACGAAAACGGAGUAAGGCAGGUUCUGCAGCUGAAGAGGAGAUGCGCUCUUGUUCUGUCCCAGUGGGUCAUUUUUGGUAUGUGAACCACAUGUACAAGGAAGAAAUGAAACGUAUUGAGAAAGAGAACGGAGUUAAAAUUGAAGCGGAG